GUGUGCCCCCCAGGCCACAAGGCGCGUACAACUGUGAUUUGUCUACAGAUGAAGUCCGGGUUCCGACCCCAAACUGAGGAUGCAGAGAGGCCCCUGAGACUCAAAGGAAGACACCUUGGAUGUGGAAACUGAGGCUCGUGUCUUCAGAUUCCCCAGUUCUGAGCCCUGUCCCCUUGGCAUGUGGAUCUGCUGACCCCAAAUACUUGAUUCUGGUAGCAGAUGGUGACAUCCCACCCAGAUCUCCCUGGCUGGGGCACACACCAUUCGUGGAGGUUCACCCUUGGCUGACAGACUUCUGAGAGGUUUAUGUCCCCCACCCCCCAACCCAGGGACUGAUUCCGCAGCAGGACAGUUCUGCCUCUUGCCUUCGUGAGACAAAGUCCAAGCCACCACACUCCAGAGCUCCCUGUGGGCUACUGUGGCUUUGCUAGCCAUUCCCCACCCUCACCGGCCUCCCAAACCCCUUCAGUCCGCACCCCCCCCCCCAGUCCUGUCCCUCACAAGACGAUGGUCCCCACAGGCACUGCUUCUAGGGAGCCUGACCCAAGAGAGUCAGAUGUGCUUGCUCUCUUCCAAGCACUUGGCAAGUAUAAAUCAUUUGACCAUCAUGACAACACCCGCGGAUAUUCCUCAUUCCAUGUGCACGUCACCAGAGAAGAGUCCGGAAAAGGGGGACACAGCGCGCCAGUGAAGACAGAUGGGAGACCUUCACUGAAAAAGCCUUGUCCACACACGCGUUCGUGGUCCCUGGACCCCUGUGACUUGAGACCUGCAGCAGGCCUAGUGCUUUCCUCUUCCCCGACUGAGCUAACUAAAGGAGGCCAGAAUCUAGGGCCCCCAAGGCCUGUUGACAGCACCAUUAGCCCUUUUUGACUUGUAAGGUUUGCCCUCAGCAGCCUCUGGUGGUCCCUGAAGACCCGUGCAGGGAGCUGGGACAGAUGAGAGGCGGUGGGGGAGGAAGGGAAGCUGGACUCCCCAGCCCCGCCGGGAAUCCGGGAGAACGGUUCACGCGUACAGAUCGUUAGGGAGAAGAAGGCCUACCUUCCUUACGGUCAAGGGGGGCUCUCCAUGUGGGACUGAAACCAGAGGCACACGCCGGAGCCUGGAGCGGAAGAAGUCUUUGGUCUGAGCUGACGGCACAAUUACACGUUCUUCGUUGCCUCUAUAUUGAAACCACAGCCUCGCCAACGCCGAGCGCCAACGUUGCCGUGACCUAUCCGCUCCCCAAGGUUUCUGAUGGAAAAACAGCUCAGGAAAAAUCCACUUAGGCUCUGGGCAAACCGUAAUUUUAGGAAAACACAGCCGCCGUGAGCCAGCGUACUACAGGACACUUCCUUCUGGCUGGAUUCUCCGGUUCAGGAUUAUGACUCCGGUCCCCUGUGUAUUUGGAAAAACAGAUUCUUACACUGCAGACCUCUGCCUCGUGAGCCAAGCCGAGCAGCUUGGAAGUCUCCCACAAGAAGGAGGAUUUAUGCAACACAGAAAGGAGCAGCCUCUGGGUCAUGAACCAUUUUUUUUUUUCCAUUUGACAACACUAGUGUUACAAAUGAGUCUCUUCUGCAACAUGAAUGGAACAGUUUUGAAAUACAGUUAACCUCGCUAGAUCCUAGAGUGACAACCCGGCAAAUCCACAAGGUGGUUGUUAUGUACCCGUGAUUCUCAGCCAGGGACGACUGUGGCCCCCGGGGGACACGUAGCAGUGCCUGGAGACAGUUUUGGAAGGAGGUUGCCCUGCGUCCAGUGAGGAGAAACCAGGGAGGCUGCUCAGCACCCCACGGGGCACAGGACAGCUCCGCCACAGAGAGCGAUCCCCGCCACGUGCCACUAGUGCCGAGGCUGAGACACCCCUCCCCGGGCAAAGUGGGAGGGACACUUGCACUGCCUAGGCUUUUAUGGCGCGGAAACCAAGGCUCAGAGAACGUAAGUAACGAGUCGAGUGUGAUCUGACCACAGCUAUAAAGCAUUGCCCUGAGCCGGAAGCUCAGUGUUCCCAGCUGACCUCCGUAUUACUCGGGGUUUUCCAGAGACACAGAGAGCUAGACAAAGAGAUUCAUUCUAAGGAAUUAAGGAAUUUGCUGAUGUGAUUACGGAGGCUGAUGAGUCCCCGGAUCGGCCAUCAGCGCUUGGAGACCCAGGACAGCCAAUGGUGUAGCUGGUCCAAGGCCAGCGGGCUCGAACCUCAUGAAGAGCUGAUGUUUCAGUUCAAGUCCAAAGGCAGGAAAAGCGAGGUCCCGGCCCAACGGUCACGCAGGAGGAGCUGCCCCUUACUCACGGAGAGUCAUUCUUUCUGUAUCAUUCAGGCCCUCGACGAACCGCGGGAGACCCACCUACAUCUGCUUUCCUCAGUCUGUUGACUCAAACACGGCUCGUCCAGAAGCAACCUCACGGACACGCCCAGAACAACGCUUGCCCAGAUAUCUGGGCGCCGCGUGGUCCAGUCAGGUCAAUGUGGAAAUGAGCAAUCGUAUCUGUCCACUUUACACCCAGCUGCUCGGCGUUCCCACAACUCCUUCUGCUCAAAGAGUGGUUCAUAAGCCGGCUGCUGCAGCAUCGUGGGGAGCUCACUGAAGCCCCCAGCCCAGAGCCGUCGGUGCGCCAAGCCCCGUGUCACACACACAGAGGGGAUGGGAUGGGGGAGGGGCCAUUUCCCACUAUUGAUUCCAAGAGCCAUCUGGGUAAUGUUUUCCCUAACUUCAUAAUCAAUAGGGGUUUAUGGAUCAUUUAAGAGGUGCCACGCCCAGGGGCACCUGGCUGGCUCAGUCAGUUGAGCAUCUGCCUUGUGCUCAGGUCAUGAACUCAAAGUUCUGGGAUCGAGUCCCACAUCUGGCUCCUUGCUCAUUGGAGUCCGCUUCUUUCUCUCCUCUGCCUGCCGUUCCCCUGCUUGUGUGUGCGCGCUCGCUCUCUCUCUCUCUGUCUGAGAAAUAAAUAAAUAAAUCUUUUAAAAAAAGAAAAGAA